ACGGCCACAUUGGGACUGAGACACGGCCCAAACUCCUACGGGAGGCAGCAGUAAGGAAUUUUCGGCAAUGGAGGAAACUCUGACCGAGCAAUGCCGCGUGAACGAUGAAGUAUUUCGGUACGUAAAGUUCUUUUAUUAGGGAAGAAAAGAUGGUGGAAAAACCAUUAUGACGGUACCUAAUGAAUAAGCCCCGGCUAACUAUGUGCCAGCAGCCGCGGUAAUACAUAGGGGGCAAGCGUUAUCCGGAAUUAUUGGGCGUAAAGGGUGCGUAGGCGGUUAAAUAAGUUUAUGGUCUAAGUGCAACGCUCAACGUUGUGAUGCUAUAAAAACUGUUUAGCUAGAGUUGGAUAGAGGCAAGUGGAAUUCCGUGUGUAGUGGUAAAAUGCGUAAAUAUACGGAGGAACACCAGAAGCGAAGGCGGCUUGCUGGGUCUUAACUGACGCUGAGGCACGAAAGCGUGGGGAGCAAACAGGAUUAGAUACCCUGGUAGUCCACGCCCUAAACGAUGAGUACUAAACGUUGGAUAAAACCAGUGUUGAAGUUAACACAUUAAGUACUCCGCCUGAGUAGUACGUACGCAAGUAUGAAACUUAAAGGAAUUGACGGGACUCCGCACAAGCGGUGGAUCAUGUUGUUUAAUUCGAAGGUACCCGAAAAACCUCACCAGGUCUUGACAUGCUUUUGCAAAGCUGUAGAAAUACAGUGGAGGUUAUCAGAAGCACAGGUGGUGCAUGGUUGUCGUCAGCUCGUGUCGUGAGAUGUUGGGUUAAGUCCCGCAACGAGCGCAACCCUUGUUGUUAAUUGCCAUCAUUAAGUUGGGGACUUUAGCAAGACUGCCAAUGAUAAAUUGGAGGAAGGUGGGGACGACGUCAAAUCAUCAUGCCCCUUAUGACCUGGGCUACAAACGUGAUACAAUGGCUGUUACAAAGGGUAGCUAAAGCGUAAGCUUCUGGCGAAUCUCAAAAAAGCAGUCUCAGUUCGGAUUGAAGUCUGCAACUCGACUUCAUGAAGUUGGAAUCGCUAGUAAUCGCGAAUCAGCAUUCGCGGU
rnacentral:rRNA from 1 species